GACGAACGCUGGCGGCGUGCCUAAUACAUGCAAGUAGAACGCUGAAGGAGGAGCUUGCUUCUCCGGAUGAGUUGCGAACGGGUGAGUAACGCGUAGGUAACCUGCCUGGUAGCGGGGGAUAACUAUUGGAAACGAUAGCUAAUACCGCAUAAGAGUAGAUGUCGCAUGACAUUUGCUUAAAAGGUGCAACUGCACCACUAACAGAUGGACCUGCGUUGUAUUAGCUAGUUGGUGAGGUAACGGCUCACCAAGGCAACGAUACAUAGCCGACCUGAGAGGGUGAGCGGCCACACUGGGACUGAGACACGGCCCAGACUCCUACGGGAGGCAGCAGUAGGGAAUCUUCGGCAAUGGACGGAAGUCUGACCGAGCAACGCCGCGUGAGGGAAGAAGGGUUUCGGAUCGUAAAGCUCUGUUGUAAGAGAAGAACGAGUGUGAGAGUGGAAAGUUCACACUGUGACGGUAUCUUACCAGAAAGGGACGGCUAACUACGUG
rnacentral:rRNA from 1 species